rnacentral:rRNA from 1 species
AGUCCUGGGGUAAGCAGGUAGGGAGGACCGUAGGUAAAUCCGCGGUCCAUUAAUCCUGAGAUGUGAUGCCGAGCCGAUUGUGGCGAAGUGGGUGAUCCUAUGCUGCCGAGAAAAGCCUCUAGUGAGUGUCGUGGCGGCCCGUACCCCAAACCGACUCAGGUGGUCAGGUAGAGAAUACCAAGGCGAUCGGGUGAACUGUGGUUAAGGAACUCGGCAAAUUGCCCCCGUAACUUCGGGAGAAGGGGGGCCUCCGCUGGUGAUCAGACUUGCUUUGUGAGCUGGUGGGGGUCGCAGAGGCCAGGGGGAAGCGACUGUUUACUAAAAACACAGGUCCGUGCGAAGUCGUAAGACGAUGUAUACGGACUGACGCCUGCCCGGUGCUGGAACGUUAAGGGGACCGGUUAGCGCAUCUUCGGGUGUGCGAGGCUGAGAACUUAAGCGCCAGUAAACGGCGGUGGUAACUAUAACCAUCCUAAGGUAGCGAAAUUCCUUGUCGGGUAAGUUCCGACCUGCACGAAUGGCGUAACGACUUCCCCGCUGUCUCAACCGCAGACCCGGCGAAAUUGCACUACGAGUAAAGAUGCUCGUUACGCGCAGCAGGACGGAAAGACCCCGGGACCUUCACUACAGCUUGACAUUGGCGUUUGGAACGUCUUGUGUAGGAUAGGUGGGAGACUGUGAAGCUGUCACGCUAGUGGUGGUGGAGUCAUUGGUGAAAUACCACUCUGGUCGUUUUGAACGUCUAACUUCGGUCCGUGAUCCGGAUCAGGGACAGUGUCUGGUGGGUAGUUUAACUGGGGCGGUUGCCUCCUAAAGAGUAACGGAGGCGCCCAAAGGUUCCCUCAGCCUGGUUGGUAAUCAGUGUCGAGUGUAAGUGCACAAGGGAGCUUGACUGUGGGACCGACGGGUCGAGCAGGAGCGAAAGCUGGGACUAGUGAUCCGGCGGUGGCAUGUGGAAGCGCCGUCGCUCAACGGCUAAAAGGUACCCCGGGGAUAACAGGCUGAUCUUCCCCAAGAGUCCAUAUCGACGGGAUGGUUUGGCACCUCGAUGUCGGCUCGUCGCAUCCUGGGGCUGGAGUAGGUCCCAAGGGUUGGGCUGUUCGCCCAUUAAAGCGGUACGCGAGCUGGGUUUAGAACGUCGCGAGACAGUUCGGUCCCUAUCCGCUGCGCGCGCAGGAGACUUGAAAGGAGCUGUCCCUAGUACGAGAGGACCGGGACGGACGAACCUCUGGUGUGCCAGUUGUUCCGCCAGGAGCAUGGCUGGUUGGCUACGUUCGGAAGGGAUAACCGCUGAAAGCAUCUAGGCGGGAAGCUCGCCUUGAGAUGAGGUCUCCCACCACGAGAGUGGGUAAGGCCCCCGGGAGACGACCGGGUUGAUAGGCCGGAGGUGGAAGCAUGGUAACGUGUGGAGCUGACCGGUACUAAUAGGCCGAGGACUUGACCAC